GAGUAGCGAGGGCUAGCUCGUCAUGGGUGGCGCCAUCAACUAUACAUGUCAUUUUUGCAAAUUUACUGUUUGCUUUAAAAAAAUCAAAGAUGUGGAACAUAAUUCCAAACAAUAUCUCACAUAUUUAAGCAAAGCUGAUCGAUUGCGUCAGGGAUUAAUUACCCGGAUUGCUUCAUUCUCUCACACGCAUACUGCACACGUGACUCACCGGGUUGUCCGUGUAUUCCGAGAAGAGUUCCACCUUCAACACCUGCUUCUGCUCAGCGACUCCGCUCAGGAACGCUGGCAGGAACAGCAGCGUCGAUACGGUCCUCAGGAGGCUGGACUGGUAGCGCAGCAUGCUCUGACGUGGUGGGGGGACACGACUGACACAUCACCACGGAAAAAACUCCAGCCAAGCCAUCAUCUGCCGAGUGAGCGUGUCCAUAUGAUUUCUGCCUAGCAACAAGUGGCUGUGAAAGUGUGACUGGACUGGAGAGGAGCUUCAACACGUCGGCGGCCACUCACUGAGCGAGCGGACAACGCCACUUGGUCUCCGUCUCGAGAGAAGCAGGUCGUCCUGAUCAUGAACAUCCCAAGGUCCCGGUUGGCGUGGGAGUCGGGCAUCUCCAGCUGGAGGACGAUGUGAUAGGCCUGGCCAAACGUCAGCACCUACACAUAACAGUCAUUCAUUCAUUCAUUUUCCUGUGCAGGCUCACUUGUGUUUCUAUUAAUCAGUUUGGCUGUAUUUUCCAAUGUGUGUUUUAUAGUUAAUACAGAGCAAUGAUUCACUUGUAAUUUGAAUACGUAUUGAUGAAUGAAUGUGUCUAAUAAGCAUUCGGUAUUUUUGUAAUAAAAGCAUGUGUCUGACUGACUUCCUGUUCCUGUCAUCAUACAAACGGCCUAGUGCAGGGGUGUCCAAACUUUUUCCACAUACUGAAAAAUGAAAGGACGCGUUGGCCUUUUUUUUUUUUUUUUAAAUAGCCUGCAUCUCAGCUUUGUGAUAUUGAUGAAAAAGAGUAUUAUUAGUGUCAACUUUGCUCCUUUCCCCCCCAUUUUUAAUGUUGUUUUUUGGUUGUUUUUUUUGGCAUUUUCCAAAUAUUUCCACUUUCAUCUGGUAAACUUUCUUC